AUUGAACGCUGGCGGCAGGCUUAACACAUGCAAGUCGAGCGGAGAUGAGGUGCUUGCACCUUAUCUUAGCGGCGGACGGGUGAGUAAUGCCUAGGAAUCUGCCUGGUAGUGGGGGACAACGUUUCGAAAGGAACGCUAAUACCGCAUACGUCCUACGGGAGAAAGCAGGGGACCUUCGGGCCUUGCGCUAUCAGAUGAGCCUAGGUCGGAUUAGCUAGUUGGUGGGGUAAUGGCUCACCAAGGCGACGAUCCGUAACUGGUCUGAGAGGAUGAUCAGUCACACUGGAACUGAGACACGGGCCGGACUCCUACGGGAGGCAGCAGUGGGGAAUAUUGGACAAUGGGCGAAAGCCUGAUCCAGCCAUGCCGCGUGUGUGAAGAAGGUCUUCGGAUUGUAAAGCACUUUAAGUUGGGAGGAAGGGCAGUAAGUUAAUACCUUGCUGUUUUGACGUUACCGACAGAAUAAGCACCGGCUAACUCUGUGCCAGCCGCCGCCGUAA
rnacentral:rRNA from 1 species